AUGCUAGUGCGGCAACCAAUGUGGAUUGUGGUUUUCCAGAUCGGUCAACCAAUGAAUGAUAAUGCAUGUCUGGCCGAGAAAUGGCUAUUUCUAAAGAACCCAUGCACGGUUAAGAGCAGUAGAGCUUUCACGCAGCCUACAUACAUGCAUAUGCAUGUCUUGCUCGUGCUUAUCCAUAUGCGUUGCACGGUUAAGCUCGUGUUUGUGGUGGACCAACCAAGAUGCCUGCUUCCACUGAAGAAAAUUAUUGGAAGAAUCAAUAAAAUUCUUGCACCGAGUCCAGACACGUGUAAUAUUCUAUCCAUAAAUAUCUUCUGGGCAUCCUAG
rnacentral:rRNA from 1 species